GGCUCAGGAUGAACGCUAGCGGCAGGCCUAAUACAUGCAAGUCGAACGGCAGCACGAGUAGCAAUACUUGGUGGCGAGUGGCGCACGGGUGCGUAACGCGUAUGCAAUCUACCCUUGACUGGGGAAUAGCCCCGAGAAAUCGGGAUUAAUACUCCAUAACAUCAUCGAGAGGCAUCUCUUGGUGAUCAAAGUUCAGACGGUCAAGGAUGAGCAUGCGUGACAUUAGCUAGUUGGUGAGGUAACGGCUCACCAAGGCGACGAUGUCUAGGGGUUCUGAGAGGAUUAUCCCCCACACUGGUACUGAGACACGGACCAGACUCCUACGGGAGGCAGCAGUAAGGAAUAUUGGGCAAUUGACGCAAGUCUGACCCAGCCAUGCCGCGUGCAGGAUGACAGCCCUACGGGUUGUAAACUGCUUUUGUACGGGAAAAACCCCUCGGACGUGUCCGGGGCUGAUGGUACCGUAAGAAUAAGGAUCGGCUAACUCCGUGCCAGCAGCCGCGGUAAUACGGAGGAUCCAAGCGUUAUCCGGAUUCAUUGGGUUUAAAGGGUCCGCAGGCGGAUCAAUAAGUCAGGGGUGAAAUCCUACGGCUCAACCGUAGAACUGCCCUUGAUACUGUUGGUCUAGAGUACAGUUGAGGUGGGCGGAAUGUGUCAUGUAGCGGUGAAAUGCAUAGAUAUGACACAGAACACCGAUCGCGAAGGCAGCUCACCAAGCUGUAACUGACGCUAAGGGACGAAAGCGUGGGGAUCAAACAGGAUUAGAUACCCUGGUAGUCCACGCCGUAAACGAUGGUCACUCGAUGUUGGCGAUACACAGUCAGCGUCUGAGCGAAAGCAUUAAGUGACCCACCUGGGGAGUACGAUCGCAAGAUUGAAACUC
rnacentral:rRNA from 1 species